rnacentral:rRNA from 1 species
UACGUAGGGGGCUAGCGUUGUCCGGAAUCAUUGGGCGUAAAGCGCGCGUAGGCGGCCAGUUAAGUCCGGUGUGAAAGUCACAGGCUCAACCUGUGAAUGCCGCUGGAAACUGUCUGGCUAGAGUCCGGAAGGGGCGAGUGGAAUUCCUGGUGUAGCGGUGAAAUGCGCAGAUAUCAGGAGGAACACCGGUGGCGAAGGCGGGUCUCUGGGCCGAUACUGACGCUGAGGAGCGAAAGCGUGGGGAGCGAACAGG